rnacentral:misc_RNA from 1 species
UCACAAUAUCAAGCUUGGCUUGCUGUUGGGCCCUUUGUCACUUGGUGACAGGUCCGAAAGACAAUGCCCGGUGUUAUACACUCCACAUGCAACGAGCUUCUAACAGCACGCAUCUGGUGGUUGUGUGACCCGUGGGCUGCCUCUGGCACCCUCUCUUAA